rnacentral:rRNA from 1 species
CCUACGGGGAGCUGCAGUGAGGAAUAUUGGUCAAUGGUCGGGAGACUGAACCAGCCAAGCCGCGUGAGGGAGGAAGGUACAGAGUAUCGUAAACCUCUUUUGUCAGGGAACAAAGGCGGGGACGUGUCCCCGGAUGAGUGUACCUGAAGAAAAAGCAUCGGCUAACUCCGUGCCAGCAGCCGCGGUAAUACGGAGGAUGCGAUCGUUAUCCGGAUUUAUUGGGUUUAAAGGGUGCGCAGGCGGUCUGUUAAGUCAGCGGUCAAAGCCCGGGGCUCAACCCCGGCCCGCCGUUGAAACUGGCAGUCGCGAGUUGGAGAGAAGUAUGCGGAAUGCGCGGUGUAGCGGUGAAAUGCAUAGAUAUCGCGCAGAACUCCGAUUGCGAAGGCAGCAUGCCGGCUCCACACUGACGCUGAGGCACGAAAGCGUGGGUAUCGAACAGGAUUAGAUACCCGUGUAGUC